GAUGAACGCUGGCGGCGUGCCUAAUACAUGCAAGUCGAGCGAACGGACGGGAAGCUGUCUUCUCUGAUGUUAGCGGCGGACGGGAGAGGAACAUGUGGAUAACCUACCUAUAAGACUGGGAUAACUUCGGGAAACCGGAUCUAAUACCGGAUAAUAUUUUGAACCGCAUGGUUCAAAAGUUAAAGACGGUCUUGCUGUCACUUAUAGAUGGAUCCGCGCUGCAUUCGCUAGUUGGUAAGGUAACGGCUUACCAAGGCAACGAUGCAUAGCCGACCUGAGAGGGUGAUCGCCCACACUGGAACUGAGACACGGUCCCGACUCCGACGGGAGGCAGCAGUAGGGAAUCUUACGCGAUGGACGAAAGCGUAACAGUGCACAGUCGCGUGAGUGCUGAAGGACUUCGGAUCGUAAAACUCUGUUAUUCGGGAAGAACAAAUGUGUAAGUACCUGUGCACAUAUUGACGGUACCUAAUCAGAAAGCCCCGGCUAACUACGUG
rnacentral:rRNA from 1 species